GUGCCAGCAGCCGCGGUAAUGCGUAGGGUGCGAGCGUUAAUCGGAAUUACUGGGCGUAAAGCGCGCGCAGGCGGUGAUGUAAGACCGAUGUGAAAUCCCCGGGCUUAACCUGGGAACUGCAUUGGUGACUUCAUUGCUCGAGUAUGGCAGAGGGGGGUGGAAUUCCGCGUGUAGCAGUGAAAUGCGUAGAUAUGCGGAGGAACACCGAUGGCGAAGGCAAUCCCCUGGGCCUGCACUGACGCUCAUGCACGAAAGCGUGGGGAGCAAACAGGAUUAGAUACCCUUGUAGUCC
rnacentral:rRNA from 1 species